rnacentral:rRNA from 1 species
GAUGAACGCUGGCGGCGUGCUUAACACAUGCAAGUCGAACGGAAAGGCCCAAGCUUGCUUGGGUGCUCGAGUGGCGAACGGGUGAGUAACACGUGGGUGAUCUGCCCUGCACUUUGGGAUAAGCCUGGGAAACUGGGUCUAAUACCGGAUAGGACCAUCGUUUAGUGUCGGUGGUGGAAAGUAUUUCGGUGUGGGUUGAGCUCGCGGCGUAUCAGCUUGUUGGUCGGGUAAUGGCCUACUAAGGCGUCGACGGGUAGCCGGCGGGAGAGGGUGUACGGCCACACGGGAAGUGAGACGCCCUCCUGAGUCCUAAGGGAGGCACCAGUAGGCAAUGUGGCGCAACGGGGGAAAGAAUGACGGAGCGGGGCCGAGUCAGUGAUGAAGGCCCUCGGAGGGGAAAACUCGCUUAUGAGUGAAGAACAACUUUGUAAGGAACUAAGCACUUUUUGACGGUACCUUAUCAGAAAGCCACGGCUAACUACGGG